GCUCAGGACGAACGCUGGCGGCGUGCCUAAUACAUGCAAGUCGAACGAACGGAGGAAGAGCUUGCUCUUCCAAUGUUAGUGGCGGACGGGUGAGUAACACGUGGGCAACCUGCCUGUAAGUUGGGGAUAACUCCGGGAAACCGGGGCUAAUACCGAAURAUAAGAUGUGGCGCAUGCCACGCCUUUGAAAGAUGGUUUCGGCUAUCGCUUACAGAUGGGCCCGCGGUGCAUUAGCUAGUUGGUAGGGUAAUGGCCUACCAAGGCAACGAUGCAUAGCCGACCUGAGAGGGUGAUCGGCCACACUGGGACUGAGACACGGCCCAGACUCCUACGGGAGGCAGCAGUAGGGAAUCUUCCGCAAUGGACGAAAGUCUGACGGAGCAACGCCGCGUGUAUGAAGAAGGUUUUCGGAUCGUAAAGUACUGUUGUUAGAGAAGAACAAGGAUAAGAGUAACUGCUUGUCCCUUGACGGUAUCUAACCAGAAAGCCACGGCUAACUAC
rnacentral:rRNA from 1 species